GACGAACGCUGGCGGCGUGCUUAACACAUGCAAGUCGUACGGUAAGGCCCUUUCGGGGGUACACGAGUGGCGAACGGGUGAGUAACACGUGAGUAACCUGCCCACAACUUUGGGAUAACGCUAGGAAACUGGUGCUAAUACUGGAUAUGUGCUCCUGCUGCAUGGUGGGGGUUGGAAAGCUCCGGCGGUUGUGGAUGGACUCGCGGCCUAUCAGCUUGUUGGUGGGGUAGUGGCCUACCAAGGCGGCGACGGGUAGCCGGCCUGAGAGGGUGGCCGGCCACAUUGGGACUGAGAUACGGCCCAGACUCCUACGGGGGGCAGCAGGGGGGAAUAUUGCACAAUGGGCGCAAGCCUGAUGCAGCAACGCCGCGUGCGGGAUGACGGCCUUCGGGUUGGAAACCGCUUUCAGCAGGGACGAAGCUUUUUGUGACGGUACCUGCAGAAGAAGCACCGGCUAACUACGUG
rnacentral:rRNA from 1 species